rnacentral:rRNA from 1 species
CAGCCGCCACGGUAAUGCGAAGGGUGCAAGCGUUAAUCGGAAUUACUGGGCGUAAAGCGUGCGUAGGCGGUGAGUUAAGUCUGCUGUGAAAUCCCCGGGCUCAACCUGGGAAUUGCAGUGGAUACUGGAUCACUAGAGUGUGGUAGAGGAUAGUGGAAUUUCCGGUGUAGCAGUGAAAUGCGUAGAGAUCGGAAGGAACAUCUGUGGCGAAGGCGACUAUCUGGGCCAACACUGACACUGAGGCACGAAAGCGUGGGGAGCAAACAGGAUUAGAUACCCCCGUAGUCCCUGUCUCUUAUAC